rnacentral:piRNA from 1 species
UGUCUUAUCAACCCAAGGUGCACCGUUUC